rnacentral:tRNA from 3 species
UGGCGGGUUACUCAAGCGGUCAACGAGAGCAGACUGUAAAUCUGUUGCCUUCGGGCUUCGUAGGUUCAAAUCCUUCACACGCCACCAA